AUUGAACGCUGGCGGCAUGCCUUACACAUGCAAGUCGAACGGCAGCGCGGACUUCGGUCUGGCGGCGAGUGGCGAACGGGUGAGUAAUACAUCGGAACGUACCCUGUUGUGGGGGAUAACUAGUCGAAAGAUUAGCUAAUACCGCAUACGACCUGAGGGUGAAAGUGGGGGACCGGAAACGGCCUCAUGUAGCAGGAGCGGCCGAUGUCUGAUUAGCUAGUUGGUGGGGUAAAGGCCCACCAAGGCGACGAUCAGUAGCUGGUCUGAGAGGACGAUCAGCCACACUGGGACUGAGACACGGCCCAGACUCCUACGGGAGGCAGCAGUGGGGAAUUUUGGACAAUGGGGGCAACCCUGAUCCAGCAAUGCCGCGUGUGUGAAGAAGGCCUUCGGGUUGUAAAGCACUUUUGUCCGGAAAGAAAUCGCGCUGGUUAAUACCUGGCGUGGAUGACGGUACCGGAAGAAUAAGCACCGGCUAACUACGUG
rnacentral:rRNA from 1 species